CGGGUGAGUAAUGUAUGGGGAUCUGCCUGAUGGGGGGGGAUAACUACUGGAAACGGUAGCUAAUACCGCAUAAUGUCUGCGGACCAAAGCGGGGGACCUCCGGGCCUCGCGCCAUCAGAUGAACCCAUAUGGGAUUAGCUAGUAGGUAAGGUAACGGCUUACCUAGGCGACGAUCCCUAGCUGGUCUGAGAGGAUGAUCAGCCACACUGGGACUGAGACACGGUCCAG
rnacentral:rRNA from 1 species